rnacentral:ncRNA from 1 species
CAGAGUAGAAGCAUAAGCGUGAAGUGUCGUGAGGACGGGGAGUUGCCCACGAACGAAAAGAGAAUUCUUGCGGUUUAUGUUUCGCAUCCCGCUGC